rnacentral:rRNA from 1 species
UACGUAGGGCGCAAGCGUUGUCCGGAAUUAUUGGGCGUAAAGAGCUCGUAGGCGGCUUGUCGCGUCUGCUGUGAAAACCUAAGGCUCAACCUUGGGCUUGCAGUGGGUACGGGCAGACUAGAGUGCGGUAGGGGAGAUCGGAAUUCCUGGUGUAGCGGUGAAAUGCGCAGAUAUCAGGAGGAACACCGGUGGCGAAGGCGGAUCUCUGGGCCGAUACUGACGCUGAGGAGCGAAAGCGUGGGGAGCGAACAGG